CUCAGACGUGGGUCAGCGUGUCCAGGCUGCUGAACUGUCCACUUGAUGGGGGUGUGUGGCACAGCUGGGUUGUAUGGGGCAGGAGCUUGGCUCAUCUGGAAUUCACUGUAGGUUACUCUUCAUUACAUCCUUCAUGCUGCCUUUGUUACAGAGACUAGUAUAAGGACAAGUCUCACUGAGCUCAGUGAGCCACUCUACCAAACCGGUGAAGCUGUAGAGUGGUUGUAGGCAUCUCCUGCUUCACUACCUGGUCAGUCAGCAAUACAGGUCCUUACUGAACUUGAGAAGGAAUUGUGAACUGCUGCUUCUUCUGGACACGUCCAGCGAUAGAUGACAGACAGGAGGAGGCUGAUCAAGAGCUCCUGUCACUGUUAGGAAUAGAUACUUGAGAUGCACACCUGGGGCUCUCUCACUGCACCAUCCUUGUGGAUCUCCUGCUUCUCCUUUUAAAAGGUGAACAGAUGAUACCUCAAGUCUAGGAGAAGCUGGAUAUCUUCUGAGAUUCUUCCUUGCCAUUGAAGAAGCUAGACGAAGACAGGAGCUGAUUGUAGCAGGAGGUCAGCUGCAGAAGCAGGAAGCUAAUGACAGGGGAUUUUCUUCUUGCACCCUUGUCCACUCUCCUUUACCAUGCCCCCACCCUCCAGCUAAGAACUCACCAAAGCUGUCCUUACAAAGGCCUGCUGCUAGAAUCAAAACUCUGUUGUCAUUGCUGACAGAGUGGCUACAGUGCCUUCAUCAGUCUGCCCUGUUUCAGGAGAACAUUUAUUCCCAGGAAUGUUUAACCAAAAUGAAUAACUGCAAAAGCCCCAGGGACCUUAGAGAAGCCUGCCUUGUGUUCCCUUCAGCUCUUACUACUGCUUCUGCUAGUCCUACCAAGUGGGAUUCACCUCUGCUUGGACACAUCAGCCACAGAACUUGUACCUACUCAUAGCACAGCUCAUUUUUUAAUAGCUCUGACUAUUGGGAAGUUCUGCUUUGUAUGGAGUCAAAUAUGCUGCAGACUUAUUCCCAUUAAAGCCUCUUUAGAGGCAUGUGUGACAAGUGGAGCUGCUGCUUUGCAAACAUCUGAAGACAACACUAACUAUGGAACUAGCACAUUGCUUCUUCAAAGUAAGGCCUUCAGACACCUUUGUCUUGUACACGUGCUUAGUUACAUUCUUGGUUUAUUCUUCUGACCUCUGGUGCUACCUCACUGGGUGUGAUCCAGCUCCUUGCCACAGGAAGACAAAGGAGAGAUACUGCACAAAGUUACCAUCCCCAGCACUAUCUGUCCACCACUGGAUCAUCCAGCUACCCAUAGCCUAAAGAAGGGCUUGGCUUCCACAUUUUUCCUUUUUGUUUCCUCUCUGUUACCCUCUGCCAUGUUCAUAGAGUAUUUAGAUUCAAUGGCAAUAUACUCAUGUAAAGUUCCCUAAACAACUUAAGAAGUGUAAAA